rnacentral:rRNA from 1 species
UAGUCCAUGCCGUAAACGAUGAGUACUAGGAGUUGGGGGUAUCGACCCCCUCAGUUCCGAAACUAACGCGAUAAGUACUCCGCCUGGGGACUACGGCCGCAAGGCUAAAACUCAAAGGAAUUGACGGGGGCCCGCACAAGCAGCGGAGCGUGUGGUUUAAUUCGAUGGUACGCGAAGAACCUUACCCAGGUUUGACAUGUACGUGGUAUUGAUUCGAAAGAUGAUAGACUCUUCGGAGAGCGUACACAGGUGUUGCACGGCCGUCGUCAGCUCGUGCCGUGAGGUGUUGGGUUAAGUCUCGCAACGAGCGCAACCCCCGUCGUCAGUUGUAUUUUUCUGGCGAGACUGCCGGGUAAUUCCCGGAGGAAGGCGGGGAUGAUGUCAGGUCAGCGUGGCCCUUACGCCUGGGGCUACACACACGCUACAAUGGAUGGUACAGAGGGUCGCCAACCCGCGAGGGGAGCUAAUCCCAUCAAAGCCAUCCUCAGUUCGGAUUGUAGGCUGAAACUCGCCUGCAUGAAGCCGG